rnacentral:rRNA from 1 species
CCUACGGGGGACAGCAGUGGGGAAUAUUGCACAAUGGGGGAAACCCUGAUGCAGCGACGCCGCGUGAAUGAAGAAGUAUUUAGGUGCGUAAAGCUGUAUCAGCAGGGAAGAAAAUGACGGUACCUGACUAAGAAUCCCCGUCUAACUACGUGACAGCAGCCGCGGUAAUACGUAGGGGGCAGGCGUUAUCCGGAUUUACUGGGUGUAAAGGGAGCGUAGACGGCAGCGUAAGUCUGGAGUGAAAUCCCAUGGCUUAACCAUGGAACUGCUUUGGAAACUGUGCAGCUAGAGUGCAGGAGAGGUAAGCGGAAGUCCUAGUGUAGCGGUGAAAUGCGUAGAUAUUAGGAGGAACACCAGUGGCGAAGGCGGCUUACUGGACUGUAACUGACGUUGAGGCUCGAAAGCGUGGGUAGCAAACAGGAUUAGAUACCCGUGUAGUC